UGAGGAAUAUUGCGCAAUGGGCGAAAGCCUGACGCAGCAACGCCGCGUGAGUGAUGAAGGCCUUCGGGUCGUAAAGCUCUGUCGGAGGGAACGAAUGCUCCUGAAGUUAACAGCCUCAGGAGGUGACGGUACCCUCAAAGGAAGCACCGGCUAACUCUGUGCCAGCAGCCGCGGUAAUACAGAGGUGGCAAGCGUUGUUCGGAAUUACUGGGCGUAAAGCGCACGUAGGUGGAUUGUUAAGCCAGAGGUGAAAUCCCGGAGCUCAACUUCGGAACUGCCUUUGAUACUGGCAAUCUCGAGUCCGGAAGAGGUUAGUGGAAUUCCCAGUGUAGAGGUGAAAUUCGUAGAUAUUGGGAAGAACACCAGUGGCGAAGGCGGCUAACUGGUCCGGUACUGACGCUGAGGUGCGAAAGCGUGGGGAGCAAACAGGAUUAGAUACCCACGUAGUCCCUGAGCGGGCUGGCAAGGCGCAU
rnacentral:rRNA from 1 species